rnacentral:misc_RNA from 1 species
UUUACACUUACUUUUUCCAAACAUGGAAAUUAAGGUGUCAGUAAGUUUAUUGUAAGAGUGAAAAAGAGUCAAGUCAAUUUUUCUUGCAAUUCCAACUCCUUCCAUUUUCACUUUCACAUACUUAUAUAUUGAUCCUCUGCCACCACUAACGCCGCCGUUCUCCACCGUGACAUAAUUCAUCGCGCCGCGGCGGCUACGGUGGCAGAGCUUCUUCCUUAAUGAAUUAAUUGG